rnacentral:pre_miRNA from 1 species
ACUAGCCCGGAAUAACUGCCCGCGUCUAGACACGGCAGAGUAGCGUGAUUCCGAGAUAAACCCCUUAGUUUGAAUUAACAGUUAAACUUGGAAUGAGAUUUAACUGUUAAUUCGAACUAAAGGGUUUAUCUUGGAAUCGAGCUUUUCUACUGUGUGUAGACGCGGGCAGUUAUUCCGGGCUUGU